CGUUGAUUCCAUUGCAUUUGCAUGCAUGGACCUGUGCAUGUUCAUCACACUGUUAGUAGUUGGCUAUCAAUUAAUGGCUUCGAUUCGUCCAGCUAGCCAGGCAUGACGGUGAUUUGCUCGCCCUCUCGACCAAGCUCCCACUGCUUCUUUCCGCACGGAAUGGAAUACUCUCCGGUCCCGAAGAUUUAAUUGUGAUCGGCGCUUGCCAACUACUCGGUGUACUUAAACUAUGCAUCGAGCUGGAUUUGAUGCUCCGACUCCAGAAUUGAAUUUGGGAAAUCCAAUGGAAACAUGGUGGGGUAUGGUUUCUUGCUUCUACUGGAAUCUGGAGGCCCUGGAUGAUCCCAACCCAUUUUACUCUUGCAUUUGUUUGUGUUACUGAAGCUGUCUUUUGGUCCAACUGGAAUGUGGUGUGUAGGAUUCGGUCUGCUUUUGCUACAAGUCAAACACCUGUGAGUGUCGUGCAUUUCAUCUUUAGAUAUUUGAAAAAGUAAGUUUUGCUUAUUAGCACAGAUUUGUGCUUCAAAUGUUUCUGUUCCUUCUGAUUCGCUUCUACCUUCAUCAAUGAAACGCUGUCUUUUCUUCAAAAAAAGUCUAGUGUUGUGGA